GUGUGGGGGGAGGAGGAACUUCCUCGGUGUUUCCCUUCCUGUCCAGCCCCUUGACGGACCUCAGAAAAGGGACCAACACGGAAGUGUCCGGCAGCUCAGUCUGGACGGGGAGCCAGGACGGGGCUUUGCCCUCCUCCAGUGGCGGGAAUGGCCCCUCCCGCGGCGCGAGCCAGGAGGCAGCUGGGGGGGACGAGAGGAGGGGCGGAGGCGCACACAGAGGAAGUCUCCCCCCUCGGGGCUGCCACCCCCUGAAGCACCCCAGGGUGGCCCCGCAGAGAGCCCGCAGCCAGAGCUAUGGCCCCCGGGACCCCGAGGCCCCCCUCCCAGCUCUAUCUGAAGGAAGAGCUUUUGCUGUCUGAUUCUGGUGGCUGCCCUUUGCGCUGAGCUUCAUCUUUUCUGUCUGAACUCUUCGAAUGUCCUUCAGAUAUGUCAGGAGCCAUUCUGCCUCCCAGGCCUGGCUGCAAGGGCUGCUCUCUGCCCUGCUCCUAUUGUGGGAAAGUGUCAAUAACAUUUCAUGAUGUGGCCGUGGGAUUCACCCAGGAGGAGUGGGACCUGUUGGACGAUUCUCAGAAAGAGCUGUACCUGGAGGUCUUGCUGGACAAUGUUCAGAAUCUACUCUCUGUGGGGCUUCCAGUUCCUAGAGAAAUUUUUAUCUCCUGUUUGUGGCAAGGAAAAGCACCAUGGAUGCUAGAGCAAAAAGGCCCAAGAAACUCCUGUCCAGAGACCGACACUAAUUUUGAAGUGAAGGAGAUGUCUACAAAGCUGAGCUUUUUUGUGGAAGGAUCUGGCUCCCAGAGAUGCAUGAAUGAGGAUCCCUAUCACUUCAUUUUGAGAGAAAUCCGUGACUCUAAUAUCAAGGUAAAUAAAAGUCCAAAGAGUGACUGUGAAUUUGAUGAGACUACAGAGAAAUUCAUACAAUAUAUAGGCUUAAAUCAGUAUACAAAAUUGACCACAGGAAAUGAAUAUUGUCACAACAGUGUAUACCGCAAAUGUUUUCCUGAAGAAGUAACACUUCUUCAUUCGCAUGAGAAACCUAUGGAAAUGCCCAUGUAUCAAGGUAACCUAUGGAGAAUGGGCUUGGGCUGGAGUUUAGACCUCAUUAGACAUCCAAAAAUUAAACAUGUAAAAAUGGUUUCUAUGAGUGAUAAAGGUGGGAGACUUUCUAGUCACAACUCUGAGCUUGCUGCACAUGAGAGAAUCCACACUGGAGAGAAACCUUAUGAAUGUAAACAGUGUGGAAAGACUUUCACAUGGAGUGACUCUUUUGUGAAACAUCAGAGAAUCCACACUGGAGAGAAACCUUAUGAAUGUAAACAGUGUGGAAAGGCUUACACACAGAGGGGCCAUCUUGCUGCACAUAAGAGAAUCCACACUGGAGAGAGACCUUAUGUUUGUAAACAAUGUGGAAAGGCUUUCCCACUGAGGGGAUAUCUUGCUAAACAUCAGAGAAUCCACACUGGAGAGAGACCUUAUGAAUGUAAAUACUGUGGAAAGGCUUUUACACAAAGGGGCCAUCUUACUCUACAUCAGAUAAUCCACACUGGAGAUAAAUCUUAUGAAUGUAAACUGUGUGGAAAGGCUUUCACACGGUGGAGCUCUGUUGCUAGACAUCAGAGAAUCCACACUGGAGAGAAACCUUAUGAAUGUAAACAAUGUGGAAAGGCUUUCACAGAGAGGAGUAAUCUUGCUAAACAUCAGCAAAUCCAUACUGGAGAGAAACCUUAUGAAUGUAAACACUGUGGAAAGGCUUUCACACGACAGGGCUAUCUUACUCUACAUCAGAGAAUCCACACUGAAGAUAAAUCUUAUGAAUGUAAACAUUGUGGAAAGUCUUUCACACGGAGGAGCUCUGUUGCUAGACAUCAGAGAAUCCACACUGGAGAAAAACCUUAUAAAUGUAAUCAAUGUGGAAAGGCUUUUACACAGAGAAACCAUCUUGCUGCACAUCAGAGAAUCCACACUGGAGAGAAACCUUAUGAAUGUAAACAUUGUGGAAAGGCUUUCACACAGAGGGGCCAUCUUGCUGCACAUAAGAGAAUCCACACUGGAGAGAAACUAUGAAUGUAAACUUUGUGAAAAUAUGUUAUGUGGGACAACUAGUGGGUAGAGAAAACUGCUUAUAAAGGUGAAACCAAGGCUCUGGUCUCUCUCUCACACUCUUCUGACUGGAGAUUGGAGCUUAGGGAACCCCUGUUGGUGGUGAGCUUCAUUCUAUCAGAAUGGCACAUGAGGUGGGUAGGCUAGGCAACUCUAUUUUUUUUUCCUUCAUUUCCCACUCUUUACUAUCACUACUAGGAGCCUCAUAAUUUAAUUUUAAUUAUUAUAAUUUGGCUGACCAUAAAGGUUUGGCAAGUACUCUCAUUUUCUUCAGUUUCUUCACUUUUUACUCUCCCUAAACUAUUCUUCAGUAAGUCUGUUAGUAACUAAGUUAGAUUGGUAAAAAAGAAGCCAAUGUACAAACUGGUUUAGUACAUGCUAAAUGUUAGUGUCUUUUGCCUUUUUAAAGGAAUUGUUAACAUUGGAAUUGAGGGUAUGUACAGAGAAGUUGGUGUCGACACCAUAUUUUUUUCACAAGUAAUAGAGAAAAUCAUUUUACAUAAGAAUUUUAAGUAUUUGCAAUAAAUAUAUAUAUAUAUAUAUAUAGAAUGUAAAAAAAAAGCCAAGAUGCAGACAAGACUCAGUUAUCAAGACUAAUCAAAGCUACUACCUUGUAGCCCAGUACUCUGGAUUGGUGAGAAGGGUUUAAGUAUUUGGACAUGUUAAUGAGCUUGACUUUUAGAUCCCCCCACACAUACACCCUAAAAGAGCAAGAUUUGGGGAAUUAAGCUUUGAUUUCCUGAUCCCAAAACCAGGUGUAACCCAAAUGUCUCACAGUUUCUAGCACUUUUAAAGAGAGUAUCUUGCUCCUGGGAGUCUGUUUUUUGUUUCCUUAAGUCCUUUCUGAGACCUUCUGCGUUAGCUUAAGAUGUGGUGUAUUAGGUGGUUCUUUUGUUAGGUGGUUUAUGGUAAUAUUAGGUUGCUGAGCAAGCACACUGAGCAAUAAGGUAGUGAGAAGUCAGACUCCUGUCUCCCUCCUCCCCUCCCACCAACUUCUGUUAUUGUCUUUGGUUGGAGUCAAGCUGGGAUCCAGAAUGAGAAAGUUGACUGAAAAUCUAACAGAUAACUCACUCUCUAAAUUGUAAGAAACAGGGGUUUCUUUUAAGGAAGGAGGGGAAAGGGAGGUUGGAUAGGAGAGAGGGGUUUAGGAUUUCCCUGAUCUAGAGUAAAUCUUAAAAUAAGUAACUAGAAUUAUAAAGUCUUAUAAGAGGGAUGUUGUUAACAGUUUUCAAAGGUCCUGAGAGCCAAACUCCAAAUAUUUCAGAGAGAAAAUCAGUAACCAAAAGGCAGAGAAAUCUCCUCAGCUCUUCCUCCUCUAGUGUCAGGAAAGAGUCCCCAGCAGCAGUUUGUGUCCCUCUGUUUAACUGCCUUCUCCAGGUCACAUUCUCCCCUGGAAUUUUUCCUUGAUUGACAGAUCUCUGAGCUUCCAUUCAUUGCAUCUGUUUCUCUAGAUUUUCUGAAGUAUUACUCCCUUACAAUCCCCCGUUUUACAUUUUGCCCAGAAUGCAACUUGCAUUCUGUAUUAACAUUACUUACCUCAUAAGUUUAUCUUGAAGAAUUCUUAACUGUCUAAGCUUUAGCCCACACUAUGUUAAAAUAUUCCACUAUGUCCCCUAAUAAAAAAUCAUACUCUGUCUUAACUAUUCUGAGUAAAUAUCCCUAUUCUAAGUUUGGGUGUAGGAAAGUGGUGUAGGUUAUAGAUAUUCAGUACAUAAAUAUGGGUUUUUUUUUUACAUAAUAGUAAACAAUGCAACAAUUUAAACUAUUUUUGACAAUGUAACUGUCCUAUGUCCUAAUGUCUAUAAUUUGUUCUAAGUAAAAGUUUCUAUUAAUAACAAUUGUUACUAAGGUUAUUAUGUAAAUUAACUUAUAUAAAUAAUGCUAUACCUCUGUCCUUACAUCAUCUAGGAUUUUGAACAAAUUUUCUAAGCUUUCUCUAUUUUUGUUAGUAAUUAGAACAUUAAUAAAUUACCUUAAUCUCGUUAGUCUGGUAGUCCAUUAGUAUUUACAAAUGUACAUAGUUUUUAUCUAUACAGAUUUUACAUAGGUACAGUUACAAUACAGUGUUGUAUGUAAUUUCUGUGCAAAGUCAUGAAGAUAAGAAAAUUCUCUUUGUUUCAAUUUUCCACAGAAAUUUAUAAGUAUAUCAGUAUGAAUUUUGUGUAUGUGUAACUAUACAAUUGUUGUAUACUUAACACAGUCCAUGAGAUUCUCUUCUUCAUUGUAUUUAUGUGCAUUUGCAUAUGUAUGUAUGUACCUAUAUGUGAGGUUAAAAAAUAUCACAAUCUUACAUGACCUCAUGACCAUCAGUUCAAAAUUCCAAAGUCUUUCCAUGUCUUUAGUAUCGAUUGUAGAAACAUACGUGUCUUGGGUUUUCCAUCUGUGCUGCAUACAUUUAUUAUCUGUCAUCUCACCUUGAUUGAAGUCCCAUGUUCUUUAACAUGCAGGAACACACAGGAACAUGCAUGCGUAUAAGCUUCUCAUAUGCAUGUAUGUAAGAUUGAUUUCUAUUUCCUUGUGCAUGGAAGUAAGUUUGAGUUCUUCAUGUGUGCUUGUCAGUGUUUUAGAGUUGAUUCUUCAUUCAUGGAAGUAUGCCUUUACAUAUAAUCUUCAUGUAUGGAUGUAUGUAAUAUGUUGUACUGUAAAAUUUUUCAGGAUGUGUUUUAUGCUUUUGAAAUAUAUUAUUUUCUAUCAUUUGAGGUUUGAUUUCACAUGGGGGUUUCAUUUGUAUAGCUUGCUUCUCUAACAUGUUCAUGUUAAGAGAUUCUCUUGACUUUUGAGUUUUUCUUGGAGAUAGAAUUCUGCUUUUAGCUUGUGGGUUUCUGGGUUCUUGUUAGUAUAGAUAGAAUGAUAUAUGAUGAUAUAUUUCAUAGAGCCAUGUCUUCUUAGUCAAGUAACUUCGUUUCAUUUCCAUUGUUGUUGCAUGCAGAGAUUAUUUUUCAUUGAAUCUGUAAUUCUAAUGUGUAUGUACUUUUAGAGAUAUUUCAUCUUUGCUUUUGCAGUGCUUGUUUUUGUCUUAAUAUGUACUCUCAUGUGUUUCCUUCAUAUUACCAUAUGUAAUGCUUUUACGUAUGUUCUUUAUGUUUUCUCAUUCAUAGCUUUCCAUGUAUAGGGACUGUUGUUAAAUAUUGCUAGGGCUAUUUGUUGUAGAUGUUAUUUUAUUCAUCUUCAUUGCUGGUAAUGUUAUAGAUAUCAUGUAUCAUGUAAUUUUACAGAUGAAUCAUGAAACCACGGAUAUUUGUGUUCAACCUUUACUGAUGUAGGCGUUACCAUGAUGACAUUUACAGGACCUAUCCAUCUUGGUUCUGUAGGAGAUUCUCUAUUAAAAUUCUUGACAUAUACUUUGUCUACUGGUUUUAUCUUAUGCAAUGAAAAAUCCAAUGGUAUUCUUUGUACCAGUAAUCCUAGUUUUCUUAAUUUUUCCAGCCCAUUUUGUAUUUUCCUUAACUAUUCAUGAAGUACACAUUCCUCUUUUAACAUAGAUAGAUAUGAUGGUUUUGCUGUCCUACCAUGCCAAAGUGGUUGACCAUAUAACAUUUCAAAUGGCGAUACAUGCAAGUCACUUUUCGGUCUUGUUCUUAUUUGAAACAAAGUAAUAGGCAUAGCAUCUGUCCAUUUCAAGUGUGUUUCUGAACAGAGUUUUCCUAUUUGUGUUUUUAAUUCUUUGUUCAUUCAUUCCACUUGGCCUCAACUUUGAGGUCUAUAAAUAGCAUGAUAAUUACAUUUGAUACUCAGGUUCUUGUGUAUUUCUUGCAGAAUCUGGGAAGUGAAAUGUGACCCUCUGUCCAAGUCUAUGGUAUCGGGAAUGCCAUGCCUAGGGAUAAUUUCUUUCAGUAGAAAUCUCACUACUAUGUCUGUAUCAUUUUUCUUGGCUGGAUAUGCUUCAACCCAUCUCAUCAGUCUAUCCACAAUAACCAAUGCAUACUUGUAUCCCUUGUCUUUGGGCAUGUUAAUGUAGUCAAUUUGAAUACAUUGGAAAGGCAUAUAGCUGAGAGGUGCCUUCCAAAAAUGCAGUACUGUAUCCAGAAUACCCUGUACCCCAUAAUGUCCUUUUGCAUGAAUCAGUGCAUAGAUGUUGAUAUAAUUUUCUAGGGAGAAUCGGUUUACCCCUUGAGCAAACCAGAUGUCUUUGAUUAAUUUAACACCAAGUUGCUCUUUCCAUGACUGAACUUCAUCUCCACGGUAAGCUUCAGUAAGAUUAUGCUUGUCCACCAAAGAUAUUUUAUCUUUUCCAUGAGUAUGUGCCUUGCAUUGGAUUAUGGCCACCUCUACAGCUUUUAUACUAUAAUCUAUUAAUUUGUCAUAUGCAAUUGUGUGAAUUUUAGAUUUAAUCCAUCCUACUUAGUCUUUAGGAUUCUAGCAACCAGGAAUGUAUACACCCCCACUUAAGGAUUAAAUGUCGGGAAGGAAGGCCUGCAAUCAGCAAGUGCUAGCAAGUGAUAAAUCAGAAACAACUGACUGACCCCCUGGGCUGUCCUAAGCCAAGCUUAAGCCACCACUGGCACAUGUGAGACACAGGAAGUGAUUUAAAGAACUGCCUUUAUAUUUUGCUUCACUUCCUGUGAGAGGAAUCUGUAGCAGUCCACAACUGUGAAUGCACUAGGGAAAUAACUGAUCUGUAAAGAUUGUCUUAGGAGAGAGCAUACUCAGUCCUUCAAGAAAGGCAUUGACCUUUGAUCUCAGCAUUCCAGAGGUUUAGGUGCGAAACCAGGUUUCUUUGUUCUCACCAGGCUGAGAAAAAGCUACACCCUGAUCUUGUCACAAUUUAUAUCUGUACCAAUGACAAUCCACUAUGUCUCCAAUUAAUAUGCAUUUGGUAUCUUUGCAUAUGAAUAUUAAUAAAAGAGGGGCCACACAGGGCCAGCCCACUCACUUUCCUUUCUUCCUUCCUUACUUUCACUCCUUCCACUUAUCUCUCUUGGAGCUCGGCCUCUGGCCAUGCUCAGUCUUUCUUAUUCAGUUUCCUUUGUUUCUGUGACUCACCUUUGCUUCUCUAACCCCUAUCAUUAAGCCAUAACAGUCCGUGUUAAAAGCAUGGGUUUAAGGACUGUGGCUUGUCUCUAUUGAUCUCUAAACUCACUUCUAAUUCCCAUGAUGUUGUGUUAAAGUCAUUUCACUGGAUGUGAAUGGCUGAGCUAUCUGUGUGGCUCGAUUAUCAUUUAUGAUUCGGUGUCUGAUUCUUUCUUCCAUCCCUCCCGACUUCAGAUCCUUUCCCCCAAGCGAUAAACUCCUAUCCUUCCUUUCUUGUGGGGGAGCUUCGGGCAGUUUUCCCCUACAUCAUCAUUGGCGCUAGAUUGGCCCUAGAACUCAACCCUGGAGGAGCUCAGCAUGAGACCUCAGACUGCUUUCCUUUUAGACGGUCAUGUGGUGAGUGAUAAGACUGACUCCCUUUUCCCUUGGCUUCUGGAGAGGCCCCUUGGCUGAGGCCUCUGAACUCCUGCCUAGCUCAGCCCAGGCCAGAGCAAUUCAAUUCCCUUUUCCCUCUCUCUCUCUCAUUCUUAAUUUCAUCCUUCUAUUAUAAAUAAACCACCAUAAAUUCCAUUCUGACUUGAGUAUUUCAUUGGGAUUUAGGAUUUAAAUCCCUGGCAACCAACUAAAAUUAUUUCAACCCUAAAAUUUACCCUUAACAAUUGGUUUCCCACCUGAUGUUCUGUACCCUCAGUUUUUCCAAAUAAAUCCAGAUGACUGAAUACUUGUAAAAACAUAUGGCGAAUCUAUGUAUAAGUUCACUCUUUUGCCUUUUUGCCAACUCCAGGGCUUCGAGCAGUGUUUUUAACUCAGCGCCCUGGGCACUAACAUGACUUGGUAAUGAUGCAUACCAAAGCAUUUUAUCAUUGUUAACCACUGCAGCCCCUGUGACCCUGUGUCCUCUGUGAAUGUAUGAGGAUCCAUCUGUGCAUAAUUCCAUAUCAGGAUCACUAAGAGGUGUGUCUUUAAGAUCUUUUUUAGGUUUAUACAUCAUUUCUACAACUUGGUUGCAGUCAUGCAGUGGCUCUCCAUCUAAUGACAAAUCUGGAAUCAGAGUAGCUGAGUUUAAUGGUGCAUAUCUAUGAAUGGUGAUGUCAUUCCCUAGCAAAAUGAUUUCAUGCUGAGAUAUUAUUGAAUCUGUAAAAGAAUGUAUAUUCUGUGAUUGUAGUUUUUCUAUUUGAUGUUCAGAAUAUACAUGUAGCUUGCAUCCCAGUACAAUAUCAUAUGCUUUCUUCACCACGAGAGCAGCUACAACAAUGCUUCUCAGGCAAUGCACCAUUCAUUCCUUGGGUGACAGAAUUGAGGAUAGAACUGUAAAAUGCAAUAACCCUUAAAUUCAGCCCAAAAUUUUGUGCUAACAUUCCAGAAGUGAUUCCCUCAGCUUCAUGAUUAUACAAUUGAAACUCCAUUUUAUACUCUGGUAUUCCCAAAGCUAGAGCUGUUAAAAUGGUUUCUUUCAACUGUGACAAAGCAUACAGAUGUUCUUUGUUUAAUUUCAAAGGUUCUUUAACUUCCUUAUUUAUCAAAUCAGUUAAACACUUGGAAAUAUGAGAAUACCCUACGGUAUACUGUCUUGAGAAACUAGCAAACCCUAGAAAUGCCUUAAGUUCAUUCUUGGUACUAGGGAUGCCUAACUUCUGAUUAUCUGCUAUCCUUUUGCUUGGGAUUUUCCUGGUGCCCCCCUCCAGGAUAAAUCCUAGAUAGUUGACUUUUGGGAGUACCCACUGGAUUUUCUUUUUAGAAACUUUAUAUGCUCUCUUAUAAAGUUCAAUUAAUAACUUCUUUGAAUCUUCCAAACAUGUUUUUGGGUCAGGUGAUGCUAGCAGUAAGUCAUCUAUAUAAUGUACUAGCUUGCUAUGUUUGAAGUUAUGUUAGCUAGAUCUCUUUGAAGAAGUUAACAAAAUAUAGAAGCUGAUUCACAACAUUCUUGCACUAAUUUUGUAUAACAGAGUUGAUUUUGUUCCCAUUGGAAAGCAAAAAUGUUCUGGGAGUCAGGGUGCAAUGGUAUAGUAAAAUAUGCAUUGCAUAAAUCCAACAUUGUCUACCACCAGGCAUAUGAAGGUAUCUGUGUGAUAAUAUUGUUUGGUGAAAGUGUUACAGUGUAUGUCUUUUUUAUAAAGUUGUUCAUUGCUCUAAGAUCCAUCACAAAUCUCCAAGAUUGUUUUCCAUCUGCAUUAGUUUUGGUUUUUUUUAAUAGCCAGAAUUGGACUAUUAAAUUCAGUCACUGUAGGUGUUAAGAUGCGUUGUUCCAACAAGCUGUUUAUAAUUGGUGUUAUGCCUUCUAUGGCUUCUCUGCUUAAUUUGUACUGAAGUAUCUUAGGAGGAACACCAUCCCUGACUUCAGUCUGUACUGGUGACACUGAUCUUAUUCUACCCACAUCAAAUAGGAAUGUAUGAUCAAUGGUGAGAGGACCUAAUUUAACCAUUGUGCUUUUGAAAUCGGGAUCCUAUUGUAUCUGUACCAUAGCUCCAGCUACUGCAACCAUCCCUUCUAUGUUGGUAUCCCCUAGAAAUGUCUUUUGAAGCACCAGGAUCCACGAGAGCUUUGUAUUGUUUCUUCCCCACCUUAAUCUAUAGAUAUGGUUCUGCUUUUUGUGUAGAUAUUGAGUUGUUAGUGAUUCAUUUUGCACUGCAGUAUUAUCUUCUGCCAUUUGUAUGGUUGAACCAGUUAAAUCUUCUUGGCUUAAAUAAUUUCCUAAGUGAUGUUCAUCUACAUUUGACUGUAUUGUGUUGCGUCCUUCACUGGAAUAUGAAUUUAAACCAUAGCUAUCUGUAAUUUAAUAUAGUUUUACUUGGCCAUACCUCCCCCCUUCAUUUAGAAUGUUGGCUUCAUAGGAGUCUCUUGAACCCUUGGCUGUCCUGGCAGUUGUUGUGUCCUCCAUUCCAUUUAUGUUUUCAAAUCUAACUGCUGUUUCAAUUCCAAUACAUUGACUAUAAUUAAUUAGAUCAACUAUAUUUUCAGCUCUUAUCUUUUUAGAUUUGAAAUUUCCAAAUUUUUUACUGUAGGAUGAAAAAUUUCAGCUUUGGGGUUCAAGCUAGAUAUUUUUUCUAAGGAAGUCUGUACCACAUUGCUUUUUUAUUUAAACCCUUACCUUCUGUCUUGGUAUCAAUACUGUGUAUUGGUUCCAAGGCAGAAGAGUGUUAAGGGCUAAGCAACGGGGGUCAAGUGACUUCCCUAGGGUUACACCUCUAGGAAGUGUCUGAGGCCAGAUUUGAACCCAGGACCUCCCAUCUCUAGGCCUGGCUCUCAAUCCACGGAGCUACCCAGCUUCCCCCUACCAUAUCAUUUUUGAAGUUUUAACAGGUUCAUGUGGGGUUUCCUGGUUCUCUAUGAACUUUUGUAAGUUUUGUAAAGCUCCAGUAAAAGUUUCUGUAAUAGUAACCUUAGACUGUGUUGUCCUAUAGUCAUUUUGUUGUAGGGAAUAGAAAUUUUGUUUUACUGUGUCUUUUAGCCAUUCCUGAUCAUGUUUAUGUGAGUUUUUAUGAAUCCUUUUUGUCUAAAAUUCAAUCCCUGUGCCCAAUUUGCACUGAAAAAUGUUUUCUAAAUAGUUUUAUAUUUGUUUUCUGCUUUUUUCAUGACUGGUUACUAUGCCCCUUCUGUCUGAGACUUUAAUAUCAGCUUGCAUUUGUGCAAUUAGAUUUUUAAUCUCUUUAUCUAACUGUAACCGUGAAAAUGUGGUUUGCCAAGACUGUGAAUUGCCAAAAUUGUAAAGGUUUCAGCCAAACUGUAAAGAUAAUUUUUAGUGUCUUGAUUUAAAAUCUAAAAUUAAGUGGUCGCCAUGGGAAAUUCCCAAAUAUGAAAAUACCCAAGUCAGCUGGGUUUUAUGGAGAUUUUAAUGAAUAUAAAUGAAGGAAUUAAGGGAAGUGGGGAGAGAGAGAGAGAGAAAGAAAGAGAGAGAGAGAGAGAGAGAGAGAGAGAGAGAGAGAGAGAGAGAGAGAGAGAGAGAGAGAGAGAGAGAGAGAGAGAGAGAGAGAGAGAGAGAGAGAGAGAGAGAGAAUAGUAGAAAGGGCCAAUGGCCUAGGCCUGAGCCUAAAGGAGAGCAAGUCAGUCUUUAUCACUCACCACAAGAUCGUCUCAAGCAAGCUCCAGUCCUCCACUGAACUCCUGAACUGAAUUCAGUGCUCCAAUUCAGUUUCCAAACUGAACUGAGUUCUCCUUUUAAAGAAAUUUUCUCUUAUGUCACCUCCCCUAAAUUUUCACAUCUACCAAUCACAGGAGACGCUUUUUCCCAGGACUGCCCAUUCUUAGUUCUCAUCUUUUAUUCUCACCUUCUCUGAUUAUAUAAAACUUCACACCUCAUUUGUUAAGCUUGCCUUUUGUAAGUUGCUUGACCUUUUAGUGAUUAAUUUAACCUUUAGAGGUACUUAGCACCCUUUUGUAUUAGAUCUAAAAAUAAGCCACCUAGCUUAAGGUUCUAGCUUUACUAUAAGUAUGAGUUAGAGACUUUCAUUGUUCAAUCAGGCAUUUACAACUUUAUCUUCCCCUAAGGCACUGUCUGAGUAGGGUGGAGUCAUUUUAAAGUUCCCAAUACAUUCCUGGUCAAGUACCUCCAUUGUUUAAAAUGGGAAAUAGCUUAACCAAAUCUUCUAAGGUACAGUCUGAGAACUUUUAAGAUUCACAUAACUCAUGUACUUGUCUCUGCUUUUCACUCAAUAUUUGGUUUGAUUUGUCACCAUCAUUUCUCACAGGCUGAAUAAAUUCAGUUUUCUGUCUCACCCUUGUAUUUUCUUUUCUCUGUGUUUGCUUCUGUUUCACUCCAGUAAGUCCCUCAUUGCUUGCCACAUCCUGUAAUACCUUUUUUCUAUCCCCUUUUAUAAUACUGACUUGGCUUCAUAAAUCCUUUCUCCCAUGAGAUACAACUUCUGAAUACUUAGGUUUAACCCCUGAAUUAAUAGCUAAACACAUGGAUUCAAUGUCUGAAGCUUCUUGGUCUUCCCAUAAUUGGCAAAGCUUGUGGCAAGUGUCUUUCUUUGAUUUGUAAUGUGGUUUUCCCUGUGUGCUUUUGUUAUUUGCCUCAUAUUUCUUUGUAAAAUAGAAAUCCUUUAUUAAGUGUCCAAUCUUGUGGCACAAGAAACACUUUCUGGUUUCACCCUGUUGGUAUGAGGGUCUGGAGUAUGUCUUAAUUGUAUGCAAAUUCUUAAUUUACUGUAUCUCUUUUUCUUUCAAUGAUUCCUCUGUGCUUUGCAGUUUUUGUUUCCAUUCUGUCAUUUCUUUUUUCUGCUCAUUAUGAUUUUUCCAUAAGUAGGAUGCAGCUUCGCGAAGGUCAGACAGCAUUACUGUGUCAUAUUUAGGCAAAUAAUUAAAAAAAAAAAACUUUUUUAGGUGUGAGGUGCAACCCCUAAGAAAUUGUCUCCUCAUGUGAGCCACAGAUUCUUCUGAAUCUUUCUCAAUAUCCAUGAUGGACUCGGCUAUUUCUGAGAGGCGAUCAAUAAAGUUAGAAGGAAGUUCUGAGCUCUCUUGAAGUAGCUUAUCAAACUUUCCCCAUGCAUUGGGCUUUGAACAGAAUGAUUUAAUAGCCUGGAGAAGACCCUCCCUGCAUUUUCUCAGAUAUAUCAUGCAUGCAAGAUUUGAAAAAUCAAAAUCUUCCCUCUGCUUAUCAGUAGGCCAGCUCAUAAAGGUAUUAUCAUUCCUCAUCCUCUCAAUGAAUUGCCUGUGUUCAUGGGGGCUAAAUAAUUCAGAGAGAAGGAACUCUGCAUCUUCAAAAUUUGGCUCAAAAAUUUUAAAUGCUCUUCAAUUCCUUAUGAGCUCAGUGAGGUUUACUGACAAACUUUGGGAAUCUACGGUACAUGGAAUCGAGUUCCUGUGUUGUAAACUGUUUAUGUACUUUGGAAUGAAGCACUCCUGCAUUAUCUGAUAUCUUAGCAAUAUCUCUUAAUGGAAAAAUUUUCUCAGCCUCAUUGUUAUCAUUGCCCUUUUCUUUGCCAAUGUCAUGUGCUCCUGUCUUAUUUUCUCCCUUAGCUUUCUGGUUAUCCUUGUCCUUAAGCCCAGUAUCUUCCUGCCCACUUCCAUUCCUAGCCUGAUCUAAUCCCUGUUUUUUCAGAAACUCACACAUAUUUUUCACUACUUGUUCCAGGCUUGUUUCAAUAACCAUAAUCUGAGCUGCCUUCUUUGGUUUUAAGAACUUGAAAAUAUUUCUCAGAUAGAUGAAGGUCUGUAUGGCAGCCAUGGUGAAAUCAUAUAUCUGUGUAAGAAUUUGCCAUAUCACAGUGUCAUUGGUAAAAGGCAUGCUCAUUAUGAAGGAAGUGGAAUUGGAUAUAAGCCCUAUUGUAUCCAUUACUAAGUUAGUCACAGCACUGUACGUAAUAUUGUAGCUCCAAUUCCAAGCUAUGACAGAAAGAACCAUCAUGCCACAUGCUACUUGCAGAAACAUCCUUUUUUCUAUGUGGCCUUCAGUAUUUUUGUGAUAGGGUAAGACCUUUUACCAGGCUACCAAAUUGAAUUAGGUGGUUUAUGGUAAUAUGGGGUUGCUGAGCAAGCACACUGAGCAAUAAGGUAGUGAGAAGUCAGACUUCUGUCUCCCUCCUCCCCUCCCACCAACUUCUGUUAUUGUCUUUGGUUGGAGUCAAGCUGGGAUCCAGAAUGAGAAAGUUGACUGAAAAUCUAACAGAUAACUCACUCUCUAAAUUGUAAGAAACAGGGGUUUCUUUUAAGGAAGGAGGGGAAAGGGAGGUUGGAUAGGAGAGAGGGGUUUAGGAUUUCCCUGAUCUAGAGUAAAUCUUAAAAUAAGUAACUAGAAUUAUAAAGUCUUAUAAGAGGGAUGUUGUUAACAGUUUUCAAAGGUCCUGAGAGCCAAACUCCAAAUAUUUCAGAGAGAAAAUCAGUAACCAAAAGGCAGAGAAAUCUCCUCAGCUCUUCCUCCUCUAGUGUCAGGAAAGAGUCCCCAGCAGCAGUUUGUGUCCCUCUGUUUAACUGCCUUCUCCAGGUCACAUUCUCCCCUGGAAUUUUUCCUUGAUGGACGGAUCUCCAAGCUUCCAUUCAUUGCAUCUUUUCUUCCAGGUUUUCUGCAGUAUUACUCUCUUACAGUGGGGAGUUGAGGAGAGCAGCAGCAAGAUCUCUAAAGCUGCACCCUUAACCCUAAGAAGCAUUUCAGGGCCCACUAAGGACAAAAUCCCAGCAGAGGACCCUGGCCACAGCCUGUCCUCUAUAACCAAUAUUUUUUUCUCUCAAGCCAGCUCAGUGAAGGGGCUCCCUGCAAAGCCUUUCCCCAGGUGCACCUCUGAGCUAGUGCCCCAGCUCCCCAAGCCUUUAGGCCCAGUUGGAAGCACAUGGUCACUGGCUUUUUACCCCUAGGGUAGGGGAAGGGAGAGAAGUCUUCCCAACUUCUUAGCUAAAACUCAGGGUGUUCCCUGAGUAGUAGUUUUACUUAUAAGGAAGUGUGUUUUAUUUUGCCUUAAGUAUAAAACCGUUGCUUUUUCUUGUAUUUUAUCCCCUUCUAAACCUUUCUUACCACCUUUUGCCUCAGCUUCUGGCUUUUCCUGCUCUCCAUUCAAAUGCUAGCAAACUAGGGUGUGUCUACCCCACACCAUUAUUUUUUCCUAGUCUUUAGGCACCCCCCCCCCCAACCCUGUGAGACCCUAACCCCUGGUCAGUACACACUAGGGUAGCACCAUCUACAGACAGGAAGUAGAUCUGCAGGCAAUUUAAUAAUUAAAUUAUAAGAUAAAAGAUAAAUAGGUGACCAAGGAUGGUGCUGGAGAAGAUGGCCCACAUUGUGAAAGUGCAGUUUCCCUCCUAUCCCAAACAGCUCCCAGAGAGCAUCACCAGGUUCACACAGCUUACGGGGCAGCCUCCAUUCACUUUGGCCAUUUGGUCCUCCUUUCCCAGCCUCUAGAUUGCCUUUUGGGACCCAGGAGUCCUGCCUCCCUGCCCCCAGGACCUACUUAGGAGCCAGUGGCCAGCGAUCCCACCUGCCCAGGGCUGCCUCCCUCUCUCCAGUUCCUCUCUGGGGACCCAGAGCACAGGGGCCCAGGAGUCCUCCCCAGCUGGGACUCAGGGCACGGCCACCCUGCUUUCUGGGCCUCUGCCGGCCUCCUGGAACCCCUGUGUCACUCUUGGUGCCCUGACCCAGCCCUCGCACCCAGGUCUCUGGCUUCCCUCAGGCCUCAGCCCUGUGAGUAGGAGGCCAAAGUGGGCUUCUGCCAUUCCCAGGCUGCCUGAUGCCAGAGUCUUCCCCAUCUUCAGCCUUUCCUCCUUCCUUUUGUGUGUGUGAGAGGAGGAGAGGGAAUGCCAGGAAGGCUGAGGCCCAGGGGAGGGGGAGCUCCCAGGCUGGGGUCCCCGAGGGGUGACUGCUGGCCUGCCCUCUUCUGGGGGCCCCCCAAAGCCCCUUCUGCCUCCUGGGUCUGUGGGGGAUGGGAGAGAGGAGGAAGCCGAAGGGAAGGAAUCAUCUUCCGUUCCCAGCCUGACCCUCCACGAGGUCCAGGUGGCCUCCCGGGAGGAGGCUCUCUGGGACUCCCUCCGGACACCCGACAGCCCAGUGCCCGGCUGGGAUGGCUGGCAGGGGGAGGGGGCGUGUCCUCUGCGCUCUGGGCUCACUGUUGAGGAGGGCCCCCGGGCGGUCCGUCGGCACUCCGGGCCCCUGGACCCCGGCAGACAAGAGAAGCUCCACAGCCUCAGUGCUGCGAAUCCUGGGGAAUGGGCUGGAUCCUGGGCAGCUGUGCGGGGAGGAGGGCGGCCCGGGGCCCCAGGAGGUGGGUGAAGCCUCUGGGAGCGCCGGAGCGGCCGCGGGGCCCGGGAUUCCCUCCUGACUGCAGGUUCUGAGCCGGACUGGCCCGGGAGGCUCCCCAGACCGGGCCGAGGCUGGAGGGCAUUCUCCUUCCCUGGCCGCGGUUGCUGGGGAACCGGGCUGGGGGCGGGGCCACAGGCCGGGGCGGGGCGAGAGACAGCCGCCAGGGGGCGGGGACUGGAUCUUAGCGCCGCGCUCUUUCCGGGUCCCUCCCAGGUUCCUCCGGCCCUCCGCCUUUGCCCCCGCCCCGCGCCCGGCCACGCCCAGCCCCUUCCGGCCCUUUACCGGAAGGGGGCCGGAAGAGAAUCUGUUUCCCUCCCAAACUGUUUUACAACCGAAGAACAGCCUCGCCCCCGACGCAUGAGGCGCCCCUGAUUCCCCGCGCACACCCCGGGGCCGGGGCUCCCCACACUAGGCGGGAGCAGAGACUCUGCCCCCCCCCGAAUGUCUCUUUACGGCCUCCCGGAGAAGGGAGCAGGAGGGGCGGGGGCGGGGCAGUCCGCGGCGAAGGCGGGAGUAGCGGCCCACGUGAGCAGAGGGAAGCCAAUCUCCGGGCAGGGGCCGGCCCUGAGGCCGCUGGGAAAGAGGAAGUCGGGACUUCUGUGCCGGAGAUGCUGUUCUGCCUGCGCUUCUGCUCUUUGCAAUUCGCCUCCUCUAGCGUUACCCCUGCCGAGAGUUGGGCCUGGUUGGCUCCGCGCCGCGCCGCGUGAUUGGGUAGGCUGCAGUCUCUGCCCUGAAGGCCUGGCCAGGGGCUUUGUCAUCGGCCUCCUGCCUGGGAAGAGGAGACAGAGAGCUCUCCCCCACGGGAUCCCUGUCCCUGCUCAGCCUGCAGAGGAGCCAGAGGGAUGGCCCCUGGGAGCCCCAGCCCCCCAGCCCAGGACUUCUAGUUCCCAGACAUUCUUUGAUCUCCUGUUUUCAGCAAGGGGAAUCCCAAUGGAUUCGAGAGUCAAAGGGCCCAAGAAACUCCUGUCCUGGGGUCAAUAACGUUCCAGGAUGUGGCUGUGGCCUUCACCCCGGAGGAGUGGGGCCUGUUGGACCACUCUCGUAAAGAGUUAUACCUGGAGGUCAUGCUGGAGAAUGUGCAGAAUCUACUCUCUGUGGGAUUUGGUGACAUUCCAGGAUGUGACUGUGGACUUCCCCCAGGAGGAGUGGAGCCUCUUGGACCAGUCUCAGAAAGAGCUGUAUAUGGAGGUCAUGCUGGAGAAUGCUCAGAACUCUCUCUUCCUGGGACUUCUAGUUCCCAGACAUUCUUUGAUCUCCUCUUUUCAGCAUGGGGAAACUGAAUGGAUUCGAGAGUCAAAGUGCCCAAGAAACUCCUGUCCUGGUGAGAGAAGUAAAAGAAUCUAUGAGAAUUGUUAUGAUGAGAGAUAUCUGUGGGUUGUAGUGAAAGGCAUUCUAGACUUUGUGGCAGGAAGACUUGAUUUUUGAUUGUUUUUCAGACACUUUUUAGCAUUGAGGGCCUGAGAAAGUAACUGAAUAUGAGCAGCUUCCCCAUCCAUAAAAUGUGGUUAUUGGAUUCCAUGAUCUUUCAGUAAAUUCUGGGGAAGUGAUUAAUCUCUGAACCUUUGAGAAGUCCAUUUUUAAGAACUGUGUGUCAUGGAAGUCUCUUUCCUGUGUCACAGAAGAACUGAGACCAUCCAAUAUGGGCUCCAUCCUGGUGUAUCUUCAAAUCAAAAGGCAUUUAUGAAGACAUUUUUACAAAUAAAGAAGUGCCAUCCUAUGAAAUCUGAUGGGAUACAAUCUGUGAUGCCUCCAGUGAUUGUUAGAAACAAGGUUGGAAGUCAUGAUUUGGUGUUAGACAUGGCUUCAAAUGAAAAAAAGGAUAAAAUGAAAAGCAACCACUGGGGAAAUUCCUUAACUAACUGAUAUGAUGGGAAAGGAAAUAAUAUGAAUAUUUAGUGUAGGUAUUACAAAUAGCAUAAUAUGAAUGAAUCUAAAUAGUGUAAAAAUAGAUGGAUAUAGUCCUUAAAAAAGACACAGACCAAGAGAAAAGACUAAACCUAAUUAUUAGCAUUUUAAAUCAUAGAUUUUAAAAGAAUGACCAGCUGAUAGUGCAGUGAAAUGCAUAAGUACAGAAAAGUAAGACAUUGCCUUGAGCACAAGAAAGGCAAAAAGCAGAAUCAUCAAAAGGUGCUUGAGGAAAGGAUUGAGAAUGUGAUGAAGCACUUCUGUCUAAUGCUGAGGACAGCACAGGAAGUCACUGGGUCUCUAUUCUAGUCUCAGUUACAGGAGUUCAUGUCCCAGUUGUGAUGAUUAAUGAGGAUGCUGGGUCUGCCUGUGUGACAGAGGUGUUGUUAGGAUUCAGUAUGAUUGGAUGAGAAGCUCUUUGAUGCUUAAAUCAUACUUUGGAUGUGAGCUAAUGGCAUUUCAAGUGAUUAUUCUGUCCAUUUUGGUGUGAAGACUAUUUUUGUUACUACAGAGGUACAUCAUACAUGGGUUCCCCUUCUGUUCAAUGAAAGGAAGGGGCUAUAUUUAUAGGCAUAUGGAUGUCUCUGUAUAUAUAUUUCUAUUUCCUUUCAUUGCAGAGAUCAAGUUUAAAGUGAAGGAGGUGGGUACAAAGUUGAGCAUUUUUGCAGAAGAAUUUCACCAGGAAAGAUCCAUAGGUCAUGCUUCCUGUGACUUCAAUUUGAGAGAAAAAUGUGACUCUGAUAUCAAGGCAGAGAGAUAUUCAAAGAGUUUCUAUGAAUUUGAUAAAGAAGGAAAGAAUAUCAGGCAAUAUUCAUUUCUGAUUCAGUGUAAGAAAAUGAACCCAGGGAAAGUGUUCUCAGUAUGGUAAAUAUGGAGAAUCUUCCAAUGAACAGAUAGAGCUUAUUGAGUCUGAUGAGAAACCUCCCCAAGUAGAAGCCUAUCAAUGUACUCACCAUGAGAUGGUGUUCAGAUCCAGUUCAGAGCUCAUUCAGCAUCAGAAAAGUCAUAGUGCAGGAAUCCUUUAUAUACAUAAUAAAAAUGGGAAGACAACCCCAAAGCUAAAGCUCUUGGAUAAUCAGAUACUUCCCACCAGAAAGAAAGCUUGUGAAUAUAAUGAGUUUGGCACAACCUAUACUGAGCAUUCAUCUCUUUCUGACCAACCUCAAUUUCAAAGUAGAAAGAAACCAUCUGCAUGUGAUCAGAGUAAGAAUCUCUUUGAUUGGAAGUCAGUAUUUCUUAAAGUUCCAGAGAUAUUACUAGUGAUAAUCCUUAUCAACGUAAUGAAUGUGGAAUAGCCUUUAGCUACAUGUCACUUCUUAUGGACCAUCAGAGAACCCACACUAGAGAGAAACGUUAUGAAUGUAAACAGUGUGGAAAGGCUUUUCCAUUGAGGGACUCUCUUGCCACACAUCAGAGAACCCACACUGGACAGAAGCCUUAUGAAUGUAAACAGUGCAGAAAGGCUUUCACAGCGUGGAGCUCUCUUGCUUCACAUCAGAGAAUCCACACUGGAGAGAAACCUUAUGAAUGUAAACAGUGUGGAAAGGCUUUUACAUGGAGGAACUGUCUUGCCAAACAUCAGAGAACCCACACUGGAGAGAAGCCUUAUGAAUGUAAACCGUGUGGAAAGACUUUCACAGAGAGGCGCUCUCUUGCUUCACAUUAGAGAAUCCAUGCUGGAGAGGAGCCUUAUGAAUGUAAACAAUGUGGAAAGGCUUUUUCAUGGAAGGGCUCUCUUGUCAAACAUCAGAGAAUCCACUCUGGAGAGAAACCUAAUCAAUGUAAACAAUGUGGAAAGGCUUUUGCAGAGAGGGACCAUUUAGCCAGACAUCGGAGAAUCCACAUUGAAGAGAAACCUUAUGAAUGUAAAGACUGUGGAAAGGCUUUCACAGGGAGGGCCUCUCUUGCUUCACAUCAGAGAAUCCAUACUGGAGAGAAACCUUAUGAAUGUAAACAGUGUGGAAAGGCUUUCACAUGGAGGCUCCAUCUUUCUUCACAUCAGAGAAUCCACAGUGCAGAAAAACCUUAUUAAUGUCAUUAAUGUGGAAAGGCAUAUAGAAACUGCAACAUUAUUUGGUAUCAUAAGAAUAUUCAUACAGGUGUGUAAUUUCUAACCAUUGAUAUGUAAAUAAGAGAAACAAAGUUUACAAGCCAAAAAUAAUAAGUUCAUUGAGGGCUUGUCUCACAAGAAAGCCAGACUGGUGUAAUGUUUAACAUUAUGAGGUUGUUCAUAGCUUAAUAACUUUUAAGUGUUUAAAAAAAUAAGAAAGAGAAGGAAAUGUACCCCCACGGGAAGAGGCUUGGUCCCUGAGGUUUAGAGAGGGAGGGAAGAGAGAGAGGAUUAAACCUCCCCUCCCCUUCCUGCAAAGCGGGAUUCAGGGAGACAGCAGAUGUAAUGGGUUGGCUCAGAGAGAGGAGAGGGGAUAUUGAAGAUUUUCCCCCUCCUGCCUUCCCUCCUUAGCUAAAGCUAUUCUCCCCAAUUUGCUCUUCUCCCCCCUCCACUACUAGAGACCAAAGGAUCUCCCCUUGAUUCUAUUCACUCACACUCUGCUUGGGGAUAAGAUAACUUUUUUUUAAUUAUUUUUAAAUUUUAUAAUAUUUUAUUUGAUCAUUUGCAUGCAUUAUUCAUUAAAGACAAAGAUCAUUUUCUUUUCCUCCCCCCCAACCCUCAUAGCCGAUGCGUGAUUCCACUGGGUAUCACAUGUGUUCUUGAUUCGAACCCAUUGCCAUGUUGUUGGUAUUUGCAUUAGAGUGUUCGUUUAGAGUCUCUCCUCUGUCAUGUCCACUCAACCGCUGUAGUCAGGCAGUGUCUUUUCCUUGGUGUUUCUACUCCCACAGUUUGUCCUCUGCUUAUGAAUAGUGUUUUUUCUCCUAGAUCCCUGCAGAUUGUUCAGGGACAUUACACCGCCACUAAUGGAGAAGUCCAUUAUGUUCGAUUAUACCACAGUGUAUUAGUCUCUGUGUACAAUGUUCUCCUGGUUCUGCUCCUCUCGCUCUGCAUCACUUCCUGAAGGUCAUUCCAGUCUCCAUGGAAUUCCUCCACUUUAUUAUUCCUUUUAGCACAAUAGUAUUCCAUCACCAACAUAUACCACAAUUUGUUCAGCCAUUCCCCAGUUGAUGGGCUUCCCCUCGUUUUCCAAUUUUUGACCACCACAAAGAGUGCAGCUAUGAAUAUUCUUGUACAAGUCUUUUUCUCCAUUAUCUCUUUGGGGUACAGACCCAGCAGUGCUAUGGCUGGAUCAAAGGGUAGACAUUCUUUUAUCACCCUUUGGGCAUAGUUCCAAAUUGCCCUCCAGAAUGGUUGGAUCAGUUCACAAUUCCACCAGCAAUGAAUUAAUGUCCCUACUUUGCCACAUCACCUCCAGCAUUCAUUACUUUCCUUUGCUAUCAUGCUAGCCAGUCUGCUUGGUGUGAGGUGAUACCUCAGAGUUGUUUUGAUUUGCAUCUCUCUGAUUAUAAGAGAUUUAGAACACUUCUUCAUGUGCUUAUUAAUAGUUUUGAUUUUUUUAUCUGAAAACUGCCUAUCCAUGUCCCUUGCCCAUUUAUCAAUUGGAGAAUGGCUUGGUUUUUUGUACAAUUGAUUUAACUCUUUAUAAAUUUGAGUAAUUAAACCUUUGUCAGAGGUUUUUAUGAAGAUUUUUCCCAAUUUGUUGUUUUCCUUCUGAUUUUAGUUAUAUUGGUUUUGUUUGUACAAAAGCUUUUUAAUUUGAUGUAGUCAAAAUUAUUUAUUUUACAUUUUGUGAUUCUUUCUAUGUCUUGCUUGGUUUUAAAGUCUUUCCCCGCCCAAAGGUCUGACGUGUAUACUAGUCUGUGUUUACCCAAUUUACUUAUGGUUUCCUUCUUUAUGGAACAGAUAACUUUUAAUGUUAACUCAAAUCAUAUAGUACAAAAAGAAUAAUGUGCAGGGAAGAAUUGGAAAAGGAAAGUGGGAAAAGGGGGUCCCUGUCUCUAUCUAAACCCUUUUCCUCCCUCCUCGACUUUGGGGGGAACUCUGGCCUUGGCAGCCUGAGCCCCCUGAGAGAAAGUCAGGUUGACUCACCCUGGGCAACAGGAGCUGAGGUAAAGUCUGCUUAGGUUUCUCUUCAGAAAGUCCCUUCAAUUGGGAAGUGUUGGGGGGAAAGAUUUCCAGUCACCAGCAGGAAAAAUGGGUAACCCUUAGGAGAAAAUCUUUAUCCACCUUCUCUCUUCGACGUCUGAAGACGGAGAGACCCUCACUGCUCUCCUCACCAGAGUCUCAGGAAUUUCUACUCUUGGGGCCCCUCCCCCAUCGAGGUGAUCAAUUUUGUAUACUCCAGUCUGGCACUUUUUCUGUAGUGCCAGCCUUUAUCACAAAUCCUCCAUUUUCUGUUGUUCAUGUGGUGCCACCCUGCCCCACGUCAGUUAAUUAUCUUUUAUGUCUAUUCUAAUCUAUCCAUGCUACUUAUUGUUCCCAUCUAACCUCCCCCCCUCCCAAAAUAAUAAAUCGUGUCCUAAUCUGUCUAUUUGCUAAAUCUAAAUUCCUAUCUCAUGCUAAGACUGAGUUGUGGAAAGAGGGUUAGGAUUAUGUACCAGCAAAAUUUUUACAAUAUAAUAAUUUCUUAAUACAAAAGUCAUUCCUAUUGUAAUCAAUAUAAAAUUCAAAUAUUAAGUAAAAUUGAACUAUCCUAUACCUUAUAUAAUGCUAAAUCCAAUGUAACAACUCAUAGCAUUUAUAGGUAUAUAGAUACAUAUUAAUUUGUAUCCAAUGAAAUCUGAUUUAUCCUGUCCCUGUUACCUCUCUAAUUACAAUAUUCCCUUUUCCACUCUAAACUACUCUGUCCCUGCCUAUUAACGGUUAGCAUUUUAACUCUCCUUUCUAUCUAUAUUACUGGAUUAGAUAAUUAUUAUAUAUAUGUAUAUGUAUAUAUACAGAUGUCUACUAUUUUAUACAUUUACAUAGGUCACCUGUUAUUUAAAUACAUAUAUACAUAUGUAUCUUCAGGUAGUAGAGAUUUAUUUACACAUAUUCAAGUUAUGGACUGGCCUUAUUUACAGCACAGUCCCUAAUUGUCAAUGUGAAAUUUGUUCAUAUUCUAAAUUUGUUGUGAUGGAUGCAUAUUUAUUCCAAUGUAUAUGUGGAUGUACUUCCCUAUAUGUGAAGUUAAUGUGAUUGGUGAUUAAUCUUACAUGACCCAUUUUCCUGAAGUCUUUGAUUCAGAGAUCUUUCCAGUUGCCCAUGUAUCUUCCAUCCUUUGGUAUUGCUUAAAGUUUGUCACAGGUCCGGGGUGCCUUCUCCUUUACAGGAAACAUACUUGCCUGUCGUCUCACCUUGAAAGAUGGUCUCAGGUAUCUGGAACUACAGGAUCGUGCGUGUGUGUAAGAUUUACAUAUACAUGCAUGUAAGAGUAAAUAUUUGGGUGCAUGUGAUUGAAACUGUUAUACAGGAUGUUUGUGCCAUCCACAUGAGUGCAAGUGAGAUUUUUUUUAAUGUAAUGUAGGUAUAUUUCUUAAUGUGUGAUUUUAAGGCCAUUAUUCUAUUCCUAUGUGGUUGAUUGUAGAGGUUAAUGAUAUUUUAGUCUAGGCUUAGAUUGAAAUUUGUAUAUAGGUUUAAUAAUUAUAAGGGAUUUUAAAUCCACCCAAAUGAACUCCCAGGUUCCACAAGGAACCACUUCUCCUGUGUUUCACAGGCUCCACUAAUCCUCCCUGAUCUAACUAACCCAAGUUUAUACUAUCUGUCCUGGGCAUUAUUCUAUUUCGGUUUCACUGUCUCUGUUCAGUGUCUCUAUUUCUUCUUGUGUGAUUUUGUUGGAUUCAUGGGCUCUAUGUUUAUUUAUCAAGGGUUGUUCUUGGGGUGUCUGUGUUUGAAUAGAUUCUUGGACUUCCAUUAAGUUGUCUUUUGGUGUGUUAUCAUGGGCAUAGUGAUGUUUAACAUGAGAUCCAUGAAGCCAAGAAUCUUUUCCUACUACUUUGGUUGAUGUAGGAGUGGUGAGAGCUACAUUGUAUGGACCAAUCCAUCUGGGCUCUGUGGGUUUGUCUUUGGCAAAAUGUUUUAUUUAUACUUUGUCCCCUGGUCUUAUGGUAUGUAAUCUGAAAUCUAGUGGGAGUGGGGGGGGAGGGCCCUCUACAUUCCCAAUCUGCCCCCAGUGAAAUACUGCUGGGCCAUACAACAGAAUACAGGUGGCACAUGCAACUGAGUAGUCAUUAGAAAAUGUGCCUUGAAAGAGGAAUUCAAAUUUGUCUCCAGAAGAACGUGUUGCUUGGUGCAGGGAGACAGAUGUAGUGCUUUUCAAUGGUCCUUUUUCACAAUCGUCUUAAGCCUGUAACUCACAAAAUCUUCUACCAGGGCUCAAGGAUUUGGAGCUGGCAGUAGAGAUGCCAUUUAGAUGGAUAACCUGUUAGCCUUUAUUUAUUGAUUUUGAGGGUCCUUCCCUGUCUUCUUAGAGUCAAUCCUGGGUAAGGGCUAGGCAAUGGGGGUUAUGUGACUUGCCCAAGGUCACAACUGUUAGCCUUUAGAAAAAUCAAAAUAGGUCAAAAGAAGUUCACCUGAGACUAAAUUUGGAUCCUUACAGAUGUCAACAGAAUAGGUUGUAGCUGUAUCCUUGCAGAGGACAAUUCAACAGGUAGGUGAAUGGAUCCAAUAUAUUAGUAGCAUUUUGAAAGAGUUCAUGCCAAGAAAUACAUCUAAGAUCAAUCUCAAACGUGCCUAGAACCAGCUAACAUUUAGAAAACUGGGUAGUACAACAGUUUCUAUUAGAAAAAUUCAAAGAGAGACCCAGACUCCUUUCAAAAUGAAUUUUACAUCAUUGAUCCAUGAGGAUAUUUGCCCCACCUAGAUGGAGUAUCCUUCCUUCCAUGAUUGUAUCGUGUUCUUUGUGUAAUGGAAUAAUUUUUGUAAUUCUCCAACAUCAUUUCUGGUAUCGAGUUGAUUAUUUAUAGCACAGGCUUAGUUUUGUCCACAAUAGUAGCAACAGCAUCCUGUAGAGACCAGCUCUACAUCGAUUUCUUGUAUGGGUUGAAAUCAUCUAUGGAGGGAAGCUGAAGACUGACGAAGUAAUGGGUGAAGAUGAAGAAUGCGAGAGUAAGCCCUAGAAGCAGCAGAGCGGCCAGGAACACUGGGACGAGACUUGAGCGUGGCGUCAGCAGGCUGAGAAAGCGCUGAGCAACCUGCAGUCAUUAGAGGCUUCAAGGAUGGGUGCUGUGUGAUCUCAGUCAAACAACCAGUAAUGCAAUAGCAGGAUGUCCUGGGAAGGAGCUCAGCGAUCAGACCUUCCUCCCCGACACUGGCACCGAGCUAUCCAGCUGCUUGCUACGUGCAGCUCUUCAUGACAAAGAAGCUUGUUAGCCUUCCAGGAGGCAGCUAGUAAGAGCCACCAAAUGCAAGUCUCGUCCAGCCUGAGGACUCAGACAUCUCUCCAUGGUUUGUUUCAACGGAAACCCUUCCCUUUCCCGGUUUUUAUUUAGGCGUAAAACAUUUUUUUAAAUAAAGGCAAUUUCAAGCCGUA